GAUGAACGCUAGCUACAGGCUUAACACAUGCAAGUCGAGGGGUAACGAGAGGAAAGCUUGCUUUCCUUGUCGACGACCGGCGCACGGGUGAGUAACGCGUAUCCAACCUGCCCCCAACUAAGGAAUAACCUUGCGAAAGUAAGACUAAUACCUUAUAAUUUCCUCAGAUGUCAUCUGACGAGGAAUAAAGAUUUAUCGGUUGUGGAUGGGGAUGCGUCUGAUUAGCUUGUUGGCGGGGUAACGGCCCACCAAGGCAACGAUCAGUAGGGGUUCUGAGAGGAAGGUCCCCCACAUUGGAACUGAGACACGGUCCAAACUCCUACGGGAGGCAGCAGUGAGGAAUAUUGGUCAAUGGGCGGAAGCCUGAACCAGCCAAGUAGCGUGCAGGAUGACGGCCCUAUGGGUUGUAAACUGCUUUUAUACAGGAAUAAAGUUGGCCACGUGUGGUUAUUUGUAGGUACUGUAUGAAUAAGGACCGGCUAAUUCCGUGCCAGCCGCCGCGGUAA
rnacentral:rRNA from 1 species